rnacentral:rRNA from 1 species
UUGGUUAAGUUAGAAAGGGCGCACGGUGGAUGCCUUGGCACUAGGAGCCGAAGAAGGACGGGACUAACACCGAUAUGCUUUGGGGAGCUGUACGUAAGCGUUGAUCCAGAGAUUUCCGAAUGGGGGAACCCACUAUCUUUAGUCGGAUAGUAUCCUUACGUGAAUACAUAGCGUGAGGAAGGCAGACCCAGGGAACUGAAACAUCUAAGUACCUGGAGGAAGAGAAAGAAAAAUCGAUUUCCUGAGUAGCGGCGAGCGAAACGGAAAGAGCCCAAACCAAGAAGCUUGCUUCUUGGGGUUGUAGGACACUCUAUACGGAGUUACAAAAGAAAGUUAUAAAUGAAGCGGUCUGGAAAGGCCCGCCAAAGACGGUAACAGCCCGGUAGUUGAAAUGGCUUUCCCUCCAGAGUGGAUCCUGAGUACGGCGGAACACGUGAAAUUCCGUCGGAAUCCGGGAGGACCAUCUCCCAAGGCUAAAUACUCCCUAGUGACCGAUAGUGAACCAGUACCGUGAGGGAAAGGUGAAAAGCACCCCGGAAGGGGAGUGAAACAGUUCCUGAAACCGUGUGCCUACAAGUAGUUAGAGCCCGUUAAUGGGUGAUAGCGUGCCUUUUGUAGAAUGAACCGGCGAGUUACGAUUUGUUGCAAGGUUAAGCGGAAAAAGCGGAGCCGUAGCGAAAGCGAGUCUGAAUAGGGCGCAUAAGUAACAGGUCGUAGACCCGAAACCAGGUGAUCUACCCAUGUCCAGGAUGAAGGUAAGGUAAUACUUACUGGAGGUCCGAACCCACGCACGUUGAAAAGUGCGGGGAUGAGGUGUGGGUAGCGGAGAAAUUCCAAUCGAACUUGGAGAUAGCUGGUUCUCUCCGAAAUAGCUUUAGGGCUAGCCUCGAGGUAAAGAGUCAUGGAGGUAGAGCACUGUUUGGACUAGGGGCCCUUCUCGGGUUACCGAAUUCAGAUAAACUCCGAAUGCCAUGUACUUAUACUCGGGAGUCAGACUGCGAGUGAUAAGAUCCGUAGUCGAAAGGGAAACAGCCCAGACCACCAGUUAAGGUCCCCAAAUAUAUGUUAAGUGGAAAAGGAUGUGGGGUUGCUUAGACAACCAGGAUGUUGGCUUAGAAGCAGCCACCAUUGAAAGAGUGCGUAAUAGCUCACUGGUCGAGUGACCCCGCGCCGAAAAUGUACCGGGGCUAAACAUAUUACCGAAACUGUGGAUGAACCUCUUUAGAGGUUCGUGGUAGGAGAGCGUUCUAAGGGCGGUGAAGUCAGACCGGAAGGACUGGUGGAGCGCUUAGAAGUGAGAAUGCCGGUAUGAGUAGCGAAAGAAGGGUGAGAAUCCCUUCCACCGAAUAUCUAAGGUUUCCUGAGGAAGGCUCGUCCGCUCAGGGUUAGUCGGGACCUAAGCCGAGGCCGAUAGGCGUAGGCGAUGGACAACAGGUAGAGAUUCCUGUACCAGUGCUAAUUGUUUAACCGAUGGGGUGACACAGAAGGAUAGGGAAUCGCACGAAUGGAAAUGUGCGUCCAAGCAGUGAGUGUGAGAAGUAGGCAAAUCCGCUUCUCGCGAAGCAUGAGCUGUGAUGGGGAAGGAAAUUAAGUACGGAAGUUCCUGAUUUCACGCUGUCAAGAAAAGCCUCUAGGAAGAGUAGUACUGCCCGUACCGCAAACCGACACAGGUAGAUGAGGAGAGAAUCCUAAGGUGAGCGAGAGAACUCUCGUUAAGGAACUCGGCAAAAUGACCCCGUAACUUCGGGAGAAGGGGUGCUCUAUUAGGGUGCAAGCCCGAGAGAGCCGCAGUGAAUAGGCCCAGGCGACUGUUUAGCAAAAACACAGGUCUCUGCAAAACCGUAAGGUGACGUAUAGGGGCUGACGCCUGCCCGGUGCUGGA